GAUGAACGCUAGCGGCAGGCCUAAUACAUGCAAGUCGAACGGUAACAUUGGUGCUUGCACCAGAUGACGAGUGGCGCACGGGUGCGUAACGCGUAUGCAACCUACCUUUUACUAGAGUAUAGCCCAGAGAAAUUUGGAUUAAUCCUCUAUAACAUCUUUUAAUUUCAUGAUUUUAAGAUUAAAGUUUUAACGGUAAAAGAUGGGCAUGCGUCCUAUUAGUUUGUAGGUGAGGUAACGGCUCACCUAGACUACGAUAGGUAGGGGCCCUGAGAGGGGGAUCCCCCACACUGGUACUGAGACACGGACAGACUCCUACGGGAGGCAGCAGUAAGGAAUAU
rnacentral:rRNA from 1 species